CCCUUAGAUGUUCUGGGCCGCACGCGCGCUACACUGAUGCAUUCAACGAGCCUAUCCUUGACCGACAGGUCCGGGUAAUCUUUGAAUCUGCAUCGUGACGGGGAUAGAUUAUUGCAAUUAUUAAUCUUCAACGAGGAAUGCCUAGUAGGCGCAAGUCAUCAGCUUGCGUCGAUUACGUCCCUGCCCUUGGUACACACCGCCCGUCGCUCCUACCGAUUGGGUGUGCUGGUGAAAUGUUCGGAUCGGCCGUUUGUCGCGGUUUCCGCGUCAUGUGGCUGAGAAGUUCAUUAAACCCUCCCACCUAGAGGAAGGAGAAGUCGUAACA
rnacentral:rRNA from 1 species